CCCAACUCAGCCUCCAGGACUCCAGCCUCAAACCCAAACCAGCUAUGAUGCCAAAAGGACAGAAGUGACCCUGGAGACCUUGGGACCAAAACCUGCAGCUAGGGAUGUGAAUCUUCCUAGACCACCUGGAGCCCUUUGCGAGCAGAAACGGGAGACCUGUGCAGAUGGUGAGGCAGCAGGCUGCACUAUCAACAAUAGCCUAUCCAACAUCCAGUGGCUUCGAAAGAUGAGUUCUGAUGGACUGGGCUCCUGCAGCAUCAAGCAAGAGAUGGAGGAAAAGGAGAAUUGUCACCUGGAGCAGAGACAGGUUAAGAUUGAGGAGCCUUCGAGACCAUCAGCGUCCUGGCAGAACUCUGCGUCUGAGCGGCCGCCGUACUCCUACAUGGCCAUGAUACAAUUCGCCAUCAACAGCACCGAGAGGAAGCGCAUGACCUUGAAAGACAUCUACACCUGGAUUGAGGACCACUUUCCCUACUUUAAGCACAUUGCCAAGCCAGGCUGGAAGAACUCCAUCCGCCACAACCUUUCCCUGCAUGACAUGUUUGUCCGGGAGACGUCUGCCAAUGGCAAGGUCUCCUUCUGGACCAUUCACCCCAGUGCCAACCGCUACUUGACAUUGGACCAGGUGUUUAAGCCACUGGACCCAGGGUCUCCACAAUUGCCCGAGCACUUGGAAUCAGCCACCCACCUGCCCACUCAUCACGGUUUUGGAGACUGCUCGCCUACGUCCGUCCCCUCAG
rnacentral:sRNA from 1 species